UACGUAGGUGGCAAGCGUUGUCCGGAAUCAUUGGGCGUAAAGAGCGCGUAGGCUGUUUGUCAGGUCUGAUGUGAAAUUUCGGGGCUCAACCCCGAACCUGCAUCGGAAACCGGCUUACUAGAGUCUGGGAGAGGAGAGUGGAAUUCCUGGUGUAGCGGUGAAAUGCGUAGAUAUCAGGAGGAACACCGGUAGCGAAGGCGGCUCUCUGGAACAGUACUGACGCUGAGGCGCGAAAGCUAGGGGAGCGAACAGG
rnacentral:rRNA from 1 species